AAUCAACAGCAGCUACAUCUACUACAUCAGCAACAACUAGAUCAAUAUUAACCAAACCAGAUAGAACCGAAUCAGCUUUUCCAACCAGCAGCAGGAGGCAAACUUCAGUAAACCCAACAGCAACGCCGUUUACCAAACCUAAUCAAACAAAAUCACGAGGUUGGAUUUGGUGGGUUGUCAUUGUGUCCAUGUUGUUAGCAGGACUCUUAAUAACUGCGAUGGUGACCAUCGGAUGGAUAAAAACUAAAGGAAAUAAAAAGCAGAAGGAAGACCAGCCUCAGGUGGAUCCUUAUGUUUCUUAUGCAUCCAUGAACCUCGGCAUGGAAACCAGGACAAAAAGCAACGUCCCUGACACUGUGAUCUACAGCACUCUACAAGCUCCAUCUGCUGUCAUCUGAUCAGCUGCUGUCCAGAACUGAAGAAAAAGCAACAUUUCCUACUGAAUGCCUACCAAUCUGUGUAUCAGUGUACAAUGUGUGAGCGUUGGUGUCAUGAUCCGUGUUUCUGUGUGUUUAUUUUUGAGCUUUUUUCUGAGUCCUGUCUCUGCGUCUUCCCCGUUGAUU